UUGGAGGGCAAGUCUGGUGCCAGCAGCCGCGGUAAUUCCAGCUCCAAUAGCGUAUAUUAAAGUUGUUGCAGUUAAAAAGCUCGUUGUUGAAUUUCGGGAUCAAUAUGUCGGUCGUGCCUUCGGUACGUACUGGCAUCAUUGGUUUCUCCCUUCUGACAAACCAUGAUGUCAUUAAUUUGGUGUUAUGGGGAGUUAGGACUGUUACUUUGAAAAAAUUAGGGUGUUUAAAGCAGGCAUUAGCUUGAAUACAUUAGCAUGGAAUAAUGAAAUAGGACGUUUGACCCUAUUUUGUUGGUUUCUAGGAUCGACGUAAUGAUUAAUAGGGAUAGUUGGGGGGCAUUAGUAUUCAAUUGUCAGAGGUGAAAUUCUUGGAUUUAUUGAAGACUAACUACUGCGAAAGCAUUUGCCAAGGAUGUUUUCAUUAAUCAAGAACGAAAGUUAGGGGAUCGAAGACGAUCAGAUACCGUCGUAGUCUUAACCAUAAACUAUGCCGACUAGGGAUCGGAUGAUGUUAAUUUUUUAAUGACUCAUUCGGCGCCUUACGGGAAAC
rnacentral:rRNA from 1 species